UGGGGAAUAUUGGACAAUGGGCGAAAGCCUGAUCCAGCCAUGCCGCGUGUGUGAAGAAGGUCUUCGGAUUGUAAAGCACUUUAAGUUGGGGGGAAGGGCAGUAAGCGAAUACCUUGUUGUUUUGCCGUUACCGACAGAAUAAGCACCGGCUAACCCGGUGCCAGCAGCCGCGGUAAUACAGAGGGUGCAAGCGUUAAUCGGAAUUACUGGGCGUAAAGCGCGCGUAGGUGGUUCGUUAAGUUGAAUGUGAAAGCCCCGGGCUCAACCUGGGAACUGCAUCCAAAACUGGCGAGCUAGAGUAGGGCAGAGGGUGGUGGAAUUUCCUGUGUAGCGGUGAAAUGCGUAGAUAUAGGAAGGAACACCAGUGGCGAAGGCGACCACCUGGGCUCAUACUGACACUGAGGUGCGAAAGCGUGGGGAGCAAACAGG
rnacentral:rRNA from 1 species